rnacentral:lncRNA from 1 species
AGGAGCGCUCACGGCUGUGAUCCCGUAAAACUCGAUUCACAAGAACCGACGGGAAGCUAUUUGGACGAGUGUGUCAACCUCUGCUCCGAGGAACCGAUUGGUCCCGGGCCCGUGCUGCGAUGUCGGGGUAGCAAGGCCAGGAAAGCCCUGUCCCUGCCCUUACAGAGCGUGGCUCCGACCUGGGGAGAUGGUCACGACUUGCUGCAUCCGGGCCCCCGGCGGGGGCGUGAGCUGGUGCAGGGGGGUCACAGCGAAGGCCAAGGCUUCCUCCCGUGGGGGCAGGGAGAGAGUCGGGGAAAAGGAGGCCCUAUGGUUGGGUUUAUGGGAGCGGCGAGUGAUGUUUUCUCGGAAGUCAGGUGGGGCAAUAAGAAAGGACAUUCCAGGUGCAGGGAGUGGCACCUGCAGAGGCGUGGAAGAUGCUGGAACUUGAAACGGGUGUCACCGGAGAGGAACGGCGUGGAAGAGUCUGGGCUUUGUAGAGGACAGAGGGUGCAGGUUCACCGGAGCCAGCCUCCCCGCUCCCGUCAUCAGCAGCAAGAACUGGCUGCGGCUGCACUUUACGUCGGACGGCAACCACCGGCAGCGGGGCUUCAGUGCCCAGUACCAAGGUAGGCGGGCCGCCGGGCGUCCUCAGCGGGUGCAGGGCUGUGUCCUGGGGAGCUCGUCCCGGCCCCGGCCUGGGUCCGGCUGGCCAGGGUGGACAUGCCUCGAGCAUCCUGUUCUUAUUGGCAGACGUGGGGUCUCUGUGUCUGCCGUAGUGGCCUGUGGCCCCACGGUCACCUCGCCCCACUGUCCCUUCCCGGCCCCUCCGCAGGCCGGGUGCUCGUGAGCCCGAGUGCCUCCAAAGAGCCGGGCCGGGCGCUCGGGCAGCACCACCUCGAUUGCCCUGCUUCAUUCCCCUGCGAAGUAAAUGCCGUCAAUGGCCCCAUUAUAUGGACGAGGAAACUGAGGCUCAGGGAAAUUAAGCCAGCUUCCUGAGGCAGCUGACGCCCCCUGCCUUUUAUUAUUAUUUUUUUAAGAUUUUAUUUAUUUAUUCAUAAGAGACACACAGAGAGGCAGAGACACAGA